CUCACUGUGGCCUAAGCAUUGCCUGGGGACCCAUGGGCCCAAGUUUGAGGUCACAUGCCUAACUGCAAACAUCUUCUUAAGUUCAGUUGAAUUCAGUAGGACUUUAAACACAUCCCUGAACAGAGAUCCUUUCUUGGGUCAGGACCAUGCAGAAAAUUCUUCAGUCGGAAAAUCUUUGACCAGCUCGAGACAAAAAUCUUCAUAUCAAACACAAACGGAAAAAGGCACUUCUGGGCAUCACAGCUUCCUGGGAUUCCAGCAGUUGAAGAUCCUGAAGUACCUAAGGAUUGUGAUCCUUAUUGACGGAGAGGGUACAACUCUUUGGUGAUGGAGGCAGACCACAUGCCUGCCAUGCACUCUGUCUAAAUGUCAGAUCAGAUCCUAAUUACUCUCCAGGCUCGAACAAUGGUGCAGUUGAGAAGGGUAAAAAUGAGAAGCUUCAUCUCAGACCACCGAACAAAAGCCUUCAGUCAGGGUAUUUACAAUAAAUACAAGCACCAAGUGAGAGGACUUCCAGUUCCUGACAGGAUUACUCUCCAGAGAGUGUUUUCUGGGGAAAGAAUCUAUUACAUCACUGACCACUGGAAUUUGUGUUGAGAUGGGUUAAUCGAAGUUAAAAAUCUCACUAAAUCAAAGGGGGCUUCAGUUCUUCUGGCUGGACAGAAUGUACCCAGUUUGGGAGCUAUUGAGAAACUCUACUGACAAACAGAACUAAACGUCGGGGCAGUCUCAUGUAAUAAUUGCAGUGGUCACUACUCUCAAGAAAUUCAUCUUGGUCCACAAUUAAAGCAGUUGGCUGGAGCAUGAUGGCCCCAAUUCAGCAAAGUGCUUAAACCCAUGCUUAAAGUUAAGCACAUGCGUAAGUCCUAUGGAAGUGAUUAAAGGUAGGCAAGUGCUGUAAUGCCUACAGAAAACUCAGUGAUGGUUAGACAGCUAGUUAGUGGUGACCAACCUUUUUCAGUACUGACCAUGAUUGUUUCCUUGUGCUUCCCCUCUUCAUUUGUUGUAGCCACCUCUUGCCUAUGAGCUUACAUUGCAAGUUCUCUGGGACAGGGGCCAUCUCUGUUAUAUAUUUGUACAGUGCCUACCAGAAUGGAGCCCUAGCUUCUAGGAACUAUCAAAAUACAAAUUCAUAGCAGUAGUAAUGGAUUUAAGCAGGUGCUUAACUGUUUUGCUGAAUCGAGACCUCUAUUUUGA